UACGGGGGGGGCAAGCGUUGUUCGGAAUUACUGGGCGUAAAGGGCUCGUAGGCGGCCAACUAAGUCAGACGUGAAAUCCCUCAGCUUAACUGGGGAACUGCGUCUGAUACUGGAUGGCUUGGAUUCGGGAGAGGAAUGCGGAAUUCCAGGUGUAGCGGUGAAAUGCGUAGAUAUCUGGAGGAACACCGGUGGCGAAGGCGGCAUUCUGGACCGAUAUUGACGCUGAGGAGCGAAAGCCAGGGGAGCAAACAGG
rnacentral:rRNA from 1 species